rnacentral:rRNA from 1 species
CCUACGGGUGGCUGCAGUCGAGAAUCAUUCACAAUGGGGGAAACCCUGAUGGUGCGACGCCGCGUGAGGGAAUGAAGGUCUUCGUAUUGUAAACCCCUGUCAUGUGGGAGCAAAUUAAAAAGAUAGUACCACAAGAGGAAGAUACGGCUAAUUCGGUGCCAGCAGCCGCGGUAAUCCAGAGGUCUCAAGCGUUGUUCGGAAUCACUGGGCGUAAAGCGUGCGGAGGCUGUGUCGUGAGUCGUGUGUGAAAGGCGCGGGCUCAACCCGCGGUCGGCACAUGAUACUGCGAGACUAGAGGCAUGGAGGGGGAACCGGAAUUCUCGGUGUAGGAGUGAAAG